GGUGGGGUGCCGGAGUGGUUAAUCGGAACAGACUGUAAAUCUGUCGCCCUAACGGGCUGCGUAGGUUCGAAUCCUACCCCCACCA
rnacentral:tRNA from 1 species